CAGAGUUCAUGCCCUCACGGGUAGAUCUCCCACCCUUGAAAUUCGUACCUUUGUUGCUUUGGCGGGCCGCAUCGCUACCGGCCCCGGCUGGUAUGUGCCCGCCAGAGGACCCCAACUCUUGUUUUUAGUGAUGUCUGAGUACUAUAUAAUAGUUA
rnacentral:misc_RNA from 1 species